rnacentral:lncRNA from 1 species
UCAGGUUCGUGGGUGAAUGAGUGAUCAGUUUUUGGUACGAACCUUGUCUUUUGACCAAGCGGGCUCGGGCUCAAUUUUUGACUUUUUGGGAAGAACGAUUAGAAAGCUAUAAGUAAGCAUUGGAAUUGGAUUAUUUAGCUUUUAUUGAUGUUAUUAAGUCAAUUAUAUCUAGAUACAAUUGAUUUGGAGCUAAAUUAAAAAGAGG